rnacentral:lncRNA from 1 species
GUCAUUUUGUAGACAGCUUCACUAUCAUGCCUUAAGCUGUCACUAAUCCCGGAAGAAUCCUAAAUGUUUGGCACUGGAUGGCCUGGCUCCUGGAUGCUACUGCACAAAGCACACUCCGUGUUCAUCCUGUAGUCUUGGUCUCCUGAUGCUGUGGAAGAGGCUUCAGAGCACAGUGAGGCUUCCUCUCAGCCCUUGUUACAGUUUCUUCUGGAAGGAGCAGCAGAUGAAUGGGAAUGUGGUGCACAGCCCACUCUUACUCUGACAGCUGAAACAACAGUGUCUGCAUGGAUCCCCUUUGGCAAAAUGGCCUCAGUAACAACAGCUGUUAAGACAAGAGCGAGAAUAUAAACAGCAUCUGGGAAUGGAGAACCCAGAGCUGGAUGAAAAUACAGUUGUCCUAGAUGGCCAUUUAAGAGAGGGAGACAAGAAUCAGCUAGAUUAAUAACCAGCUCUGCCACUAUGUAAAAAAGGAACUCAAGCCCCAUGUUGCAAUUCUGUGGUAUUGCGGUGAAACGGAGCAUCCCUUUCAGAGUUUACAAGUGUUUAUAAGGCGGCCGGCGCUCUGCUUCCUUCAGAUCACAGAACCAACCUGUCCAGCAACUUCAGCACCCGGCAGCGCAGGAAAAGGUACGAAUUCCUUUCUUCUCUACCAGCAGGGCUGCACAAGUCUGGCGGCUGCUGACUGCACGGGAAAAUACCGACAGCUCUACAGAUCAGUGCUUUGGGUGUCCUUAAAUACUUCUCAUGCUGUUUUU